AGUGAACGCUGGCGGUAGGCCUAACACAUGCAAGUCGAACGGCAGCACAGUAAGAGCUUGCUCUUACGGGUGGCGAGUGGCGGACGGGUGAGGAAUACAUCGGAAUCUACUUUUUCGUGGGGGAUAACGUAGGGAAACUUACGCUAAUACCGCAUACGACCUACGGGUGAAAGCAGGGGAUCUUCGGACCUUGCGCGAUUGGAUGAGCCGAUGUCGGAUUAGCUAGUUGGCGGGGUAAAGGCCCACCAAGGCGACGAUCCGUAGCUGGUCUGAGAGGAUGAUCAGCCACACUGGAACUGAGACACGGUCCAGACUCCUACGGGAGGCAGCAGUGGGGAAUAUUGGACAAUGGGCGCAAGCCUGAUCCAGCCAUACCGCGUGGGUGAAGAAGGCCUUCGGGUUGUAAAGCCCUUUUGUUGGGAAAGAAAAGCAGCAGGUUAAUACCCCGCUGUUCUGACGGUACCCAAAGAAUGAGCACCGGCUAACUUCGUG
rnacentral:rRNA from 1 species